rnacentral:rRNA from 1 species
GAUGAACGCUGACAGAAUGCUUAACACAUGCAAGUCAACUUGAAUUUGGGUUUUUAACUUAGGUUUGGGUGGCGGACGGGUGAGUAACGCGUAAAGAACUUGCCUCACAGCUAGGGACAACAUUUGGAAACGAAUGCUAAUACCUAAUAUUAUGAUAAUAGGGCAUCCUAUAAUUAUGAAAGCUAUAAGCGCUGUGAGAGAGCUUUGCGUCCCAUUAGCUAGUUGGAGAGGUAACGGCUCACCAAGGCGAUGAUGGGUAGCCGGCCUGAGAGGGUGAUCGGCCACAAGGGGACUGAGACACGGCCCUUACUCCUACGGGAGGCAGCAGUGGGGAAUAUCGGACAAUGGACCGAGAGUCUGAUCCAGCAAUUCUGUGUGCACGAUGAAGUUUUUCGGAAUGUAAAGUGCUUUCAGUUGGGAAGAAACAAAUGACGGUACCAACAGAAGAAGUGACGGCUAAAUACGUG